CAUGGCAGGAAACUUGGAGGAAGAGAGAAUGUUGAAACUAUUGAUGUUGCUGAGUAUAAACCAAGGUGUCUUCUUUGGACCAAUAUCUACUUAAUAUUCCUGGUGGUGGGAUUCAGUGAUGGAAGCAGGAGCCACGGAGCGGGUACGGAGUCCAAGGAUGGAAGCAAAAACUGCACAAAAGUUGCAGCUCCAGAGACACAAAUCCAGCCCCAGAGUAGCCCACACAGCCUCCCUUCCCCGCUCAGGACGCUCACCACAUUCUCGAGGUGCCAUCUUGAAAGGAGGAAGCAAAUACUGGUGCGAAGAAGCCCCGGGACCGCAGGCUCCUGGGGUUGCUCGCCCUGACUCACUUAAGCACCUUCCAGAAGGCCGGGGAAGCCUGUGGCACCCAUGACUGCCGCGGUAAGAUGCGUUUCCCAUUCCUACACACUUAGGGGAGCCCAAGGCCAGAGGCUGUCUGUGACCCCGGCUACUUUAGUUUAUAUUCUGGUUCAGUAUCUACUUCUUCUGACAAAGGUGAGUUCCUCUGCCAGCUUUCUAAUAGGUGUAAGUGCACUCAUGUAACAGAGUAAGACUUUAUCGCGUGUCUGUGUGCGCAUGCGCGUAGGGUACUCAUACACAGGUUAGAGUGUGAAGGUCAGAGGUCCUCCUCAGGUAUCCACGUCCCGUGAAUUUCUGGGCAUCCUGCUGCCCCUCCCAUCUAGCUGUAAGAGCACGGGAUUACAGAUGCGGCUGUACUUGGAUGCUGGGAACCCACACCUAGGUCCUCAUGCUUGGAUGGCAGCACGUGUUUUACCUGCUCAGCCUUUUCCUAGCCCCAUUAAGAAAAGUAUUUGAUUCCAAACAUCAAAUUAUCACAUGCCUAUUUUGUCUCGUACUCAGUUUUCUCCCCCUUCACUAAGCCUGCUGAGAACCGUUUAACAGUUACUUAGAGUUCAUUUAUCAGGUACACUGUUCAGCCCUGGUGUUAGCAGCGCAUGAAGGAACAGGUGCCAGCAGGAAGGGCGGGAGGCAGAGCUGGUGUCUGAGCAUCUACCCCUGGACUUCUGGAGGGACAGUGGGAGCGGCAUGGUUUGCAUAGUCAGCACAGAUGGGCACAGAGCACUUACUCCCAUCUCCUGCAUACGCCACUGCUAACUCACUUCCAGUCCAAGGCUGGCUAUUCUGCGUCCAUUGCUGCACACUCAGGAAACCCAGCCACUGAGAUUUGCCUGUAAAUGUGGAAUCCACUGUUAGUAAAUAAGAGCACACCACGUGAGAAGUGAGAGAUGACCGCUGGAUGCUGAGUACCAACGGAAAAACAGGCAACACGGAGGCUGCUUGGUUUCCACUGAAUCAUUUAUUAGCCAUUUAUUAUAAAAAUCUAAUCUUUUUACACAAAAGAUACUUUUAAAAACAGCAAAUUUUACCCAAAUCUACAGAAUGGAGCCAAAAACAUUGAACACAAUUUUAUAUUUUCUAGUAAUUCAUUCCAGAAACAAAACCCAGAUAUACAUUUCCGAAUAUAUGGCAAAGAUAAAGUAACAAAUGCUAGCCUUCACUGGACGCCAACUAGAGUCUCCACUCAAGAUUGGCCCACUGCUUUAUUAGAACGGAGCACAGAACUGCAGGUCUUCCUGUGCAGCGUUAUAAAGUCUGACACAUGACAGAUGCAGGCACAGGCACGUCCAUUCUAAUGCUAUACCUCUUGUGUUUUUAAAACUGCACCAGGCCUGUUGAAAUGAUGAACAUGCAGAAGGCAUUCAAAAUUGUUUUUCUCAGCUAGGGUGUAUUUUGUGUUAGAUUAAAAACCUGUAUGAAAUUAAGUUCAACGAGAAGCCAUCUCAACUCAGUACUUUGGUUCAUAUAAUCUGUGUUAAUACUUCCAUGUUGAUGAAAUUGUGCAUAUUUUUUUUAAAAAAGCUGAAGAGAUUAUAGUCCAUGAAGUUCAUUGCAAAAGGUACAUAGUAGACUUGUCUCUGGACGUCGAAGCUGUGGGUAAGAGACAGGAAGGGGGCCUUCUGCAGCUUUCCCCUGGCUCAGCACAUCACGCAGGUAAAGACAGACACAGCCACACCCAGGACAUUCUGCAGGAGUUGCUUGUUUACACUGUCUAAAUUCAUGCAUUUUCUCCUCCAGGAUGCAAAAUAAGUCUUCCUUUCUCUCUAUAAUUAAUCUUUUAUUCUCCAGAAACUAAUACAGAUUCCAAUGCAAUAUGUCAUCAACGAAACUGAAGUGACCAGAUUCUUACAGCAGGAAUGAAGUGCUGGAUUCUUACAGCAGGAAUGAAGGACUGAGCAUGCUUGAUGUUGCUGCAACUGCUACCGCACAAAUCCACAGCUUCUAUACAGUGAGGUGGUGAAGACGAACGCACGGUGUGUGGAUGGACCCGUGCGACCCAAAUGUAAAGACGGGAAGGUCAUUUUACUGAAAAUUCAGGGAAAUCAUGUCAA